rnacentral:rRNA from 1 species
GACGAACGCUGGCGGCGUGCUUAGCACAUGCAAGUCGAACGGGCCCGCUCUUUUUUGGGGGCGGGUUGAGUGGCGAACAGGUGAGUAUCACGUGAGCAACCUGCCCUCCUCUCCUGGAUAACCGCUUGAAAGGGAGGCUAAUACAGGGUGUUCCGGUUGGUCCGCAUGGGCUGGUCGGGAAAGGUUCAUCGUUGUGGUGUUUCGGUGCGGGAUGGGCUCGCGGCCUAUCAGCUUGUUGGCGGGGUGAUGGCCCACCAAGGCGGUGACGGGUAGCCGGCCUGAGAGGGUGGGCGGCCACACUGGGACUGAGACACGGCCCAGACUCCUGCGGGAGGCAGCAGUGGGGGGUAUUGCACAAUGGGCGGAAGCCUGAUGCAGUGACGUCGCUUGAGGGAUGGAGGCCUUCGGGUUGUGAACCUCUUUCUCCGGUGGUGAAGGCCCCGCCCUUCGUGGUGGGGUUGACGGUAGCCGGGUAUGAAGCGCCGGCUAACUACGUGCCAGCAGCCGCGGUAAUACGUAGGGCGCGAGCGUUGUCCGGAAUUAUUGGGCGUAAAGGGCUUGUUGGCGGCCGGCCGCAUCAGUCGUGAAAUCCUUUGGCUCAACCGGGGGCUUGCGGUGGGUACGGGUCGGCGGGAGUGCGGUAGGGGAGGCUGGAACUCAGGUGUAGCGGUGGAAUGCGCAGAUAUCAGGAGGAACACCGGUGGCGAAGGCGGGUCUCAGGGCCGUUAGGGACGGUGAGGAGCGAAAGCGUGGGGAGCGAACAGG